AGGUCUCAAGCUAGCUCUUUUACGUUUAGGUUUAUAACUCGGUCUCCGUUUCGGUAAGCGAGUAUCAGUUAAGCUGUGAAAAGCAGCAGCAGAAGCAGCGUUGGACGGUGGAAUCCAUGGAAGUUUUGGUCGGAAAGUGCUGAAUAAAUUCCGACGGAGCUCCGUUACCGGAGAUAUGGUAUUCGCCGGAGAGGUGAUCGGAGUGAAAGCGGAUACGGGUCGGGUCGAUAAGAGUG
rnacentral:lncRNA from 1 species